AUUCAUACCAUUACAUGUAUAAAUAAUAAAUUCUUAAUUGUGCACCACUCAAGAAUUAUUCUGUAUGUAUAAUGCAUACUUGUUGCAUAAUUUAUGCAAUGAAUUAGUUCACAUUCCUGCAGUUAACCCGAAUUUCACCUUGAUUCCCAGUGAGGGACUGAAUAUUUCCCAUCUUAAUCAUCGAGUUCGCAAAGUCCUCGUAGAAAUCUUCGGUAUCAUCGCUGUACUCUUUGACCAGUUCAUCAGUAGAACCACCAUUGAAGAGUUCUUGAUCAGAGUGAAGAAGCCCUUUCUUUUGAACCAAAUUAGAGUAAUAAUUUAUGUCAAAUUUUGCCGCUGUUGAGUCCAAAGGAGAAAGGUUGGAGUCACCACCGUUUGUAGGGCAAAUGUAUUUAAGUUGUUGUGCAAAGUGGGGAUCGAUGUUGGAGUCAUUGUAGAUAUGGUCCUUAAAUGUAACACAACGUGCAAAUCCAAUGCUGUGGCCUCCAGAAAGAACAACAAGGUCCUUCUCAUCAAGACCAUGAUUCUUGAAGUUGGUGAUGAGUUCAGAUAGGCUGAAAAAUGGUGCUGGAAUGCUUGCAUCUGCUGCUUCACGACUUGCUGUAGUAGAGUCUCUUCUGCCAAGUCUCACCUUCCAUGAUGGUCCCCCUAACUGCAUGGAGCAUAUGCACAUAAUUAAUUCUUGUUCACAACUAGGUUCAUUCAUUUUUUAUAUAGAGAUGACAGUAUAGUGUUGUUCAGCUAGAAUAUUUAGUAAUUAUUUAUACGAAUUUUGAGGAAGAGAAAUUGUAUUUAAACAAUUUUUUAUAUAAAGGAUUUUGAAUAAUAAAGAGAAAUAAAAUAAGAAAUAAGGGAUAUAUAAUAAAAUAAUUUAUGUAAUAAAAAACACAGAUUAUAUGGUCUAAAGUGUUGUAAAAAUUCGUUAUACAGAUAAAUAUAAGUCUUUGAAAGUUAACUAAUAAAAAUCAUUUUGUAUUUCUCAAAUUUCGUAGUAAUAUGGCCAUCACAAUUACCCUACCCUACACUUGCUCUGAACGUUACAUAUUUAUGUGGGUCGGUUAAAAAUCCUCCGGUUUACUUUUAUACUAUUCGAACUGAGUCCUUGACUCCCUGGAUAAUUAAUAAAGUUUAUAUUACUUUUUAGUAACAUACAUUUAUUUGACUUUUAUGCAGUCAAAGUUCUAUAAAAAUUGCAUUGCAUCAUCUUAUGAUCUCUGGUAUAUUUGACAUCGUGAUUAAUAAAAAAUUCGCUAUGGACUAAUACAAUUCAUAACAUUAAGCAUAAUUUCUCAUAUUUAUAUAUAUAUAUAUAUAUAUAUAUAUAUAUAUAUAUAUAUAUAUAUAUAUAUAUAUAUAUAUAUAUAUAUAUAUAUAUAUAUAUAUAUAUAUAUAUAUAUAUAUAUAUAUAUAUAUAUACACGAUAAACAUUUAACGCAUAUCAUUUUGGGUUAUAAUUAGCUAUAUUCUAGUAUUACAAUUUUGAAGCUACAUUACAGUAUUAUUACUCACCGCAACAACUGAAUCACGAGCUGCAACAGCCAAUAUGUCUGCGCAAGAAACAACUGGUUUUCCACAUGCUUCGUCCACAGCUUUCUUUAUGUCAUCCACCACUUCAAAUCCUCUAGCAGAUUGCAAAUUAGCAGCUGCAUUCUUUUCGCUGUCAAUGGAGGAUGUGGAGUCUAGAAGAAUUGAACCAUCACAACCCUGAAUCAUCGUCACAAAACCAAGUCAUUAAUUAGCCUCACAUUUUCACAUCAUCUAAAAAUUAAUCCCCACAUUUUAAAUAAUGGGGUCUUUAAGGUAAUAUAUACAUUCAUUAAUCCGUAUGAAUUUAUUUUUUUAGACUAAAGAGUAUUUUGUGUCACAUACUGAGACUACUUGUUUUCGAAAAAUCUAAAGGCAUUAAAAAAUGAGUAAUUCCUUGCUAACUUGAUUUUUUUUCUCAUAUAUAAAAGUCAGGAUUUGAAUUCCAUGACCACAUUUAAUUUGUAAGGAAUCAGCUUAUCAUCAUCACUCAAAAUAACUACUUGUUAUCAUAUUAACAUGUGUGUAUACAUGUACACGUGCAUGUGUAUAUAUGUGUAUGCAUAUGCCCACAAGCGUAGAAUGUCUUACAUUAACAAAACAAUCAUGGAAGUGCAAGCGUAGCAAUGAAGCACCCAUACGACGCUCUUUCUGCACAGAAGCCUCCACAACACUUUUGAUGGUGCUCAAAGCUUUAGGGCACGAAUAAUCAUAGUAAUUAGGUGACAAUUGUGAGAAAGCUGAGGUUGCAAUAGAUGCAAACACUAAGGCAUGGAGAACAACAAAGAAAUACCCACGUGAUGCCAUUCUAUUACUAUGCAAUCAAUAACUGAUCAAUAUGCAAUAUAGUAUAUAGUACUGUAGUAGAUGACAAUAUCGUCUACUGGGAAAUGAUAAAGCUAUAUUAUGUAUUUCAAUUAUUUGGAUUGCUAUUGCCACAUUGCUGUAUUUAUAGAGACGCUGAGACGCGUGCUGGGGAAAAAAUACCAUUUUUUAUUGUUUGUCCAUAGAAAAAUAUACCAAUUAACUGCACGGUAUCAUACCUAGUGAUGUGUGGAAUGAGCCCACGAAAAAGACCAUUUCACCUCAGAAACGUUCUAUGUUAGGUAUCAUUAAAGGUAUCAAGAAAUCCUAAAAAAGAAUUAUUCAGUGAUUGAUUUAGUCCACGGAGGGUUUUAAUUAAUUGAUAUAUGUACGCCAACCACAGCGAAUAAUGAUAAAUUUAUGAUGUAAAUGGACAAUAUACAUGCAUGGGAUACAUAUCCUUUUCGACUAAAUCAAUUCCGAGUAUUAUAUGUUGUAUAUUCACAGCGUAAGCAAUUACGAAUCCUAGUUAUCAAUCAGGUUAACCUUUUUUCUUCUUCUUCUUCUGAAUUAUUAAUCAAGUCAACUAGUUGUAGUCAUUUUAUUGUAAGCAGGUAAAAGUUUCAAAAUGAUACACAUGGACAAUGAAGGUAAAUUAAAUUCUACAAGUUUUUGUCAAUAUAAUUUAAUGGUUUAAUUACUCAUUUAGUCUCUAUAGUUUUCAAACUUAUCCAAUUUAGUCCAUGUAGUUAAUAAGUGAUUUUUUUAGUUACUGUAGUUUAUUUUUUAAUUCCCAAUAGGUUCCUCCUGUUUAAAUUUUUUAACACGUUAACGGACCUUGGCAAAACUCCCUCUGCACCGCUCUGCACCGCAAAAUUCUCUCUGCAUUUUGAAUUCAUCUCCCUCUCGGCCACCAUUAUCGUCCAUUGUUGGGAAUUAAAAUUAAUUGUGAUUUGCUGUAAGCAAGCGUUGACCCAUGUCGUCCAUUGUUGAACCUAACUGAGUUUUAAUAAUUAAUUAUCUUUGUAAUUAAUUUAUUAACUUUGAUCAUGACAAAUUUAGUUUCUAAAUCUAAUCAUUCUCAUAACAAAAGGACUAUUAUUCUGAAAAAAAAUAACAAAAGCACUAUUUUGUCUUAUUCAUAAAAAUUUAAAAGAUCAAUAACAUAUGUUGCCUGUUUUAAGACGGAAUUGGAUUUUUCCUUCGAUGAUGCAUGGCUGAUGAUUUAUAAUUACUCUUCUUGCGUGACAUGCUUUUUAAACUUUCAAAAAGAAACUAACAUGUGUUUUUUUUUUUUUUUGAAAAGGUAAUAUGCCACAUUUAAUUCAUAUUGUUAAAUAAUCCAAUUUAACAAUCAUUAUUGCUGACUUAGCUAUGUUCUUAGUUUCUCAGAUUAGAGGGUCUGUUUUUAUUUAGUCCUUUAAAUAAAGUUUUGCAUUUUUUACUCCAUCAAAUUAAAAAAGACGUUUAUUUAGUCCCUUCUCUAACAUAAAAAUUUAUAUUUUUUAUUUCCUCUAAAUUUGACAAAGGAAUUAAAAGAAGCUUUUUUUUUUUUAAGUUAAGAUGCUAAAAAAAUAUAAAUUUUUAUUUAGAAAAAUAGGCUCCCUAAUUUCAGGGCCUAAAAAUAAAAUCAAACGUAUUUUAUCAUUACUAGAUCAGAAGCUAUUGUUUAUUUUUUAUUUUUAAAUUCAAUGAAAUAAUAUUAUUAAAAUCGAAACAGAUCGUACGUCCGAACCGGUUCAACCAGAAAUUAGAUACAUGGUUGAUCCGGUCAAGGUUGGAUUGGAUAUGUCUUCAUCAAACCCCCGGUGAUAUCAUUGGAGAUACCUUAUUAAAAGUACCUGAGAAACUGUACCUAUAGAAUUUAAUUAGAAAAUGAAGAAAAAGUAUUUUCAUAUUACUAGCUAGUAGUAUAUGUUAUUAUCGUCAUUUUCAUGGUCAUUGUUCUUGUUAUUGCUGCUAUUAUUAUUAUCAUUAUUGUCAUGGUUAUGUAGUUGUCUAAAACUAGACUUUCUAUAAAAUCAAAAUGACUUUAUAAAAUAAAAUAAAAACAUGACAUUGUGCUCAUCAUGCUUAUGAUAAUUUUUUCAAACAUUAGUUAGUUUUCUUAGUUUUCAUAUAGGUAAAUCUAAUAGGAUAAAUUUUUUCUUGAAUAAAUAAAAAAAGAUUCAAAAAGUGUCCAGAAAUUAAAAAUGAUAAUUAAUUUGAAAGGAAAAAUGCAUAUGUAUGGGUGCUUCAUUGCAUAAGAAAAAAUUGAGUUUGAGUUUAAACCAACUUGUUUUUGAAUCCAAGGGGUUAAAUGUAUCAACAAGUAUACAACAAAGGUUUUUAUGAAGUGAUUUUGUUAGGUCCUGUACUACGGGAAAUAUAACUGCAAAGAUAAAUGGGAUAAAAUUAUGUUCUGCCUUUAUUAUCAUUCAUACUCCUUUAUUUAUACAAAGAUUUUUGCACCAAAACUUAUAACAAACUUAUGGCUCACAGUGCCAACACAUUCAUAACAGCAUGUAUUUUCUUUUAUUAUAGUAACUAACUAAAUGGGAGGGAUAGUGAAAAUAGGCAUAACAAAGUAGAUUUUAGUGCUUGCUUAACAACCUCAAAGAGAGUCAUUGAAGCGUGUGGGUUUUCUAGUAUUCAUUCUAGGCCUGAUAUGGUCCAAUUCCUUGCUGCUCUUGUGCUCUUCCCGUUCCAAGAUAUCUGAAUUGCUAUCAUCACCCCCCCUCAACCAAACCAACCUUGUCCCCAAGGUUGUAAGACGGGGCGUAGUGUAUCCAACGACUCCCAUGUACUGUCCUCUUGUGACAAGCCAUCCCAUUGGACUAGAACAAGCUUAGUUGGUGGACAAGAUGAGGAAUCCCAUUUCCAAUCCAAAAUAUGAAGAGGCUCAAUGACUGGAUGGUUCUUAAUGAUAGUCGGAGGAAGAACGGUAGGAUAUGUGGGUGACGGUCUGUGAUGGAGUUUCGAUAGUGAGAUAUGAAACUUGGGGUCAAUCUUAGAAGUGAUACCAUUGGGAUGGCCUGUCAUGAACAAAGACGCAAAGAUAUUGCUCCAAGAUGCGAUUCAUGACCUCUGUUUGAUUGUCCAUCUGUGAGUGAUAGGCAGUGCUCAUCCGAAGCUUGGUUCCACUGAGGCGAAAAAGCUCCUCCAAAAUUUUCUAAUAAACAAUGGAUCCCGAUCUGAAACCAGGGUCUGUGGGAAGCCAUGAUGCUUACAAACUAUGUCAAGAAAUAAGAAGGCAGUCUUAUAAGCGGUAUUGUGUGGCGAUAGUGCCCCGAAAUGGGCUUCUUUUGAAAAUUGGUCCAUGACAACCAGAAUAAUGGUAAAGUCGUGAGACGGUGGUAGCCCGGUGAUGAAGUCCAAAGAAACAUCUUCCCAAAUGGCUGAAGGAAUAGGCAGGGGCGGGAGGAGACCUGCCAGCUUCUUGGUGUCAUAUUUUUUUUGUUGACAAACAAGACACUAGGAGACAAAGCUACGAACAUCUUCAAGGAUGCGGGGCCAAUCAAAGUUUUGCUGCAGGCGGCGGAAAUUCUUAGUGACACCUAUGUGUCCUCUAAUUGGGGAAGAGUGAAACUCCUGCAAUAGUAAGCUGGUGAAAUGUAUUGCGAACGACAAUCAUAUCCUUCCAUUUUGAAAGAGAAGCUCGCGAUAGACCUUGAGGUCAGGAUGUUUGGUAGGAUUUUGAUGGACCUUGUCCAACAGUGUUGUGUAUUGGGUGUCUUUUAGAAGAGUAUCCCAGAGUUGAUCCAAGAAGACAAACAUAGGCACUGAUACGGAGUAAAACUAUGCUUCGUCCGGUGCCGUAAUUCGGGAUAAUGCAUCGUCCACAAUGUUCUAAGAUCCUAACUUGUACUAGAUAACAUAAUCAUACCCCAGUAAUUUGAACAAAUAGAUUUCCUGCUCAGGACUUUGAAUAGCUUGGGACAUAAGCUCUUUGAGGCUUCAGUGUUCCGUCAAAAUGGUAAAUGAAUGGCCUAGUAGGUAGUGCCGCCAUUUUUGAACUGCAGCGGUAAUGAUGUGAUAUUCUUGGACAUAAGCCGAUGUAAGAUGCAAAAAUGGGCAAAACAUUUUUCUAUAAUAAGCAAUUAGGUGAGAGUUAUGUUGAAGGACCGUGUCUAUAGCUCGUGAUGAGGCGUCUAUCUUUAUAGUAAAAGAGGCAGAAAAGUCUGGUGAAACCAGAACCGGGGCCUUCAUGAUCUUCUGUUUCAACUGUUCGAAGGUUGUUUAGGCUUUUUCAGACCAUUGGAACUUGUCCUUACAAAGCAACGAAGUAAGUGGAGCAACGAGCGCGGCAUAACCCUUAAUAAAACGCUGGUAGAAGCCGGUUAAUCCCAAGAAUCCACGCAGGGUAGAAGGAGUGGACGGGGCUGGCUAGGUGAGCAUAGCCUGGAUUUUGUCGGGAUCCGGAGCCACCCCGUGAAUGUAGACUAUGUGGCCAAGAGAAUGUAACCUCUACUGAGCAAAGAGGAAUUUGGAUUGGCGCAAGAGAAAUUGUGCAUGUGAUAGUGUCUAUAGAACUUGCUUCAAGUGUUGGGCAUGCAACUACGAACAGGGGCUGUAUAUAAGGAUAUCAUUGGAAAAAAUGGCGACAAACAUUCAAAGAAAAGGACGAAGGGUGUCGUUCAUAGUGGCCGGGAAUGUUGAUGGUGCGUUGCAGAGACCAAAUGGCAUGACCUUGAAUUCAUAGUGGCCAUGGUGAAUUCUGAAGCCUGUCUUCUGGAUAUCGGAAUCCGCCAUUCGUAUCUGGUGAAAGCCCCAUUUGAGGUCUAACUUGGAAAAUCAAGAUGUGUGGCUGAAUUCAUCCAAUAAUUAGUCAAUUAUGGGCAUGGGAAAAUGAUCUUUGAUCGUUACGGCUUUGAAGGGUCUGUAAUCGACACAGUAGUGUCAGUUGUCGUCUUUCUGUUUGACAAGCAAUAUCGGAGAAGAAAAAUGACUAUGACUGGGUUGUAUCAGUCCAGCAUUGAGCAUCGAGGCAACUUGUUUUUUGAUUUUGGUUUUUUGGAAAUGUGGGUAUCGAUAGGGCUUGAUGUUGACUAGGUUGGUGUUAGGGGUGAGGUGGAUAUGGUGUUAGAUUGUGCAAGAGGGUGGUAGGUGGGUUGGUUCAUAGAAGAUUUCUGGACAUUGGAUGAUGAUGGAGGUUAUCUGGGGAGGUGUUGGUGUCUGGUGGGGGUGUGACGGGGAAGAGGACGUACUGUACCGGGAUAGUGAUGCGGUGAGGGCAAAAAGGGCAGAAAGGCUUUGUGUUUGAGUGCAUCGAUUUAAUUGUUGGGCUGAAAUGAAUGUUGUGUCCAAAGAACAUUCACGAUAAGUGUUGUUGGCGGACACGAAAGGAAAUGACAUCGCCAACGCCUUAUAGUUUUUGGUGGUGGGCCCUAAUUGUUUUAACCAUUGAACGCCCAAGACAAUGUCUGCAUCGCUAAUGGGUAAAUGGAAGAGGUCAGGGACAAAUGUGUGACCUUGGAUGUACGAGGUCACUUGCCAGGAAGUAGUGGUGCAAUCCAACAUGUAGUCAUCACCGACCAUAACGCGUAGGGUGUCUGAAAGAGACGCAGGAAAGUGAAGAAAGUGAGCAACGCGGGACUAGAUAAAAUUAUGAGUACUACCCCCAUCCAUAGCAUGCAGGCUGAUUUGAGGAACUGGGUCAGGGUCGGGGUCUGGAUCUGGAGGGUCGAAGUUGUCUGAGGGUAAGGAAGGGGCAUCGGGACUUGAUGCGAAGGGAUCAAUAUCCUCGUCGGCAAUUACAAGGUGCAAUCGAGGUUUACAACAAUGGCCAGGUAUUUAUUUGUCAUCAUAGUGAUAACAAAGGUCAUGGUCACGCCGAAGAGCCAUUUCCUCAAAGGUGAUACAUUUGAAGAGGAUUUUUGGGGCUAAAGUUGUGUUUGGUUUAAGAAAAGGAGAGUUGGGGUUUGCGGGUGCUUUGUAACGAGGCGAUGGUGGAGAGUAAUAGUUUCGAUGCUGGCCAAGGAGUUUGAUUUCCUGGAGCUUGGCCAGGGUCGCGGCUUGUGUCAACGAAGAGGGUUGAAGGGCUUACACCUCGCGACGUAAGCCCAGGGUCAAACCGGAGAUGAAACAACUUAAAAGAAAGGAUGGGGCAAGGCCAAAAAUUCUAUUGGCAAGGUGUUUGAACUUUGUAAGGUAAUCAUUGACGGAGCCUUGCUGUUGUAGUUUGAACAAGGUGCUUGAAGGAUCAUCGUAAUAUGCUGGGGCAAAGCGUGACUCAAGAGCUUCGAGCAUGCCUGUCCAAGAUGUGAGGAAACCAUUCCUCGACAUCCAUUGGUACCAGCACAACGUCGGGCCCUCCAUGUAAAAAGAGGGGACUGUAAGGCGUUCAUGGUCUGGGAUCCCUUGGUAGUCAAAGAACUGCGAAGCUUUGAAGAUCCAACCAAUGGGAUCAUGUCCAUCAAAACGUGGCACGUCCAGUUUCAUAUGGGGCCGCGGAGAGGAUGGUGAAGCUAGUAUUGAAGAGGAAGGAGGAGAAAGAGGAAUGGUGGUCAUAGCAUAUAAAUGGAAUUGAACUUAGCGUUCGUGGUGUCUUGGAUUUGUGCAAGGUUUUGUGUAAGAGUAGACUAGCCCUAGGUCAGGCAAGUGACCGCCUCUUCCAAUCGGUCAAUGACGGCCUGCUUGGUAUUAUGUUCUGAGGGCGACAUAGGGGUAGGUCGGACCAAUUGUUAGGGUCCUAUACUACGGGAAAGAAAACUACAAAGAUAGAUGGGGUAAAAUUCUGUUUUGCCUUCAUUAUCAUUCAUACUCCCUUAUUUAUACAAAGAUUGCUGCACCAAAAGUUAUAACAAACUUUGGCUCGUAGUGCUAACAGAUUCAUAACAACAUGUAUUUUCUUUUAUUAUAAUAACUAACUAAAUGGGAGGGAUAGUGGAAAUAGGUAGUAGACAUAACAGAAUAGAUUUUACUGCUUGCGUAAUAGCCUCAAACAAUGUCAUUGAAGCGUGUGGGUUUUCUUGUAUUCCUUCUGGGCUUGCUAUGGUCCAAAUCCUUGCUCCUCUUUUGCUCUUCUUGUUCCUGGAUUUCUGAAUUGCUAUCAGAUUUGGGGGAGUCAAAUAAAAUUUGUUGGGUCAAUUGGGAAUUUGGAUGCCUCCCAAAUUCAGAAGGGGACCUGGGAGCAAAGAACUUGUAGUGAUUCAAUAUAAGUUUGCUUGCAAAGUGGCAGUGGCGGUUUUUGACAUACUCAAAUGCAAUUUGCUGGUACCCUCUUCUCAGUUUCAGAUAUGAUCGCAUUAAUUAAUUCUGAAAUGUGUAGCCCUUCUUCUAUUUGACAAACGUCGAAUUAAUGGAAGGAUAUUAUUGCUAUUGACUUGAAUAGUAGCUAGUUCUCUGAUGGUGUAAUCCGGGAAAUUGGAGAUUGGGGCAGUUUUUGGAAGAAUAGAUGGGUGGGGAAUUUCAAUCUAAAAACAUUUUUUGCAACAUUAUAUCAAAUUGCAAAUAAUACAGACUGUUUGGUGGCUGAUAUGGUUGGCAAUGGGUUUGGGAUUAGAGGUGACGCCUUUGGAGCCUAGUCGGUCCAAGGAUAAAAAGAGCUAAAUCUUAUAUUUUAGGUUUAUCAACAAAAAAAUAUUAUUAAUUUUUAUAAAGGAAGAAAAAGUAACAUAUAAUUCUUUCUUUUAAAGUAAUUUUUUUCCCUUUAAAUUUACUUUAGACUCCUCUCUUGUUGGGUCAUGGGAGGAGGAUAUUGUUGUUCAACUGAGACAACUUCUAUCUUCAGUCAAGUUUAGUGGGAUAGGCUAGAUGAAACGUAUAAUUGGUAUUGAUAGCAGAAAAUAGUGUUUAUAACAACAAGGAACGAUGUUCACAACAAAAUCGAAAAUAGCUAUAGUGUUUCAGCAAAAGGAACGAGCGAAAUCAACAACACAGAGUCAGCGUUCUUUAACUAAACCAUCACAGGUUCAGAAUAGCACCUGAGAUUAAGGAGAGUAUAAAGGUUGGGAGAAGGUGCAGAGAAGAAGGAAUUAACAGAAGGAUCAGAGAAGCAAACAGGAAGAGUGUUCACCUUCAACAUAACCUAGAAUGAGUAUUUACGCAAUCUUAUAUUCUCCCUCCUAACACGUGCGUUUUUUUUUACCCCCACAUGCAGAUCAUCAGCCACGUGUCCUUCAUUUGUAACUGACUAACGCGCCAAUUUUCCUUCCUGCUUCCCGCAUGUUACACUAGACUCUGGAUCAUGGGAACAGAAUAAUACUAGUUUUUUCACGGUGUUAUCUGCUUAUUCAUUGAUUCGUGCCGGGCUGAAUGCUUUAUAAUCAGAUACAUCCAACACAGUUAUAUAUAUUCUCAUGAGGGAAGCAGAUGAAAAACUUCAUAAGUAUUAAUUAUUUGGCAAGCGACGUGCUGUAGGUUCAGAGAAACAAUGUUAUUUUCAAAAAUAAUAUUCCAGAUGUUCCUAUAGUGUCCUUUUUCACGCUCAGAGUUUGUUAUGGUCUUGGUUCAGGUAUAAGGGAGGGACCUUGCUCGAGUGGGAUUUUGCUGGCGAACUGGUCUUCCAAUCCGUUGGAGUGCCUAUUACAAUCUGGAUAAUUCUGGUUUUGAUUGUAUUUGCUCCUAUACAGAGAGCUUUUGCAUUUUUUUGCGUGCUUUAAUUGUAAUUUUCGUGCUGGUGUGGUCACACUUCAUGGCCAAUAACCUUUAAUAAAAUUCUUUUUGCUGUUAAAAAAAAUACCUUGUAAGAAGAUGAGAGUUGUUCCUCCUCUUAUAAACUUUCAAUUCAUUUGUUAUAUCAUUACUUGAUGUGAUAUGUAUAGCAAAAUGAGUGUUUUAUAUAUUAUAAAAAAACUCAUGGUUCAAAUAAAUUUUACCUUUUUAGAAUCAAUGCAAAAGGAAUUUGAAAACAAACAAUUUAUGGCAAAGAAUUCAUACCAUUACAUGUAUAAAUAAUAAAUUCUUAAUUGUGCACCAGUCAAGAAUUAUUCUGUAUGUAUAAUGCAUACUUAUUGCAUAAUUUAUGCAAUGAAUUAGUUCACAUUCCUGCAGUUAACCCGAAUUUCACCUUGAUUCCCGGUGAGGGGCUGAAUAUUUCCCAUCUUAAUCAUCGAGUUCGCAAAGUCCUCGUAGAAAUCUUCGGUAUCGUCGCUGUAUUCUUUGACCAGUUCAUCAGUAGAACCACCAUUGAAGAGUUCUUGAUCAGAGUGAAGAAGCCCUUUCUUUUGAACCAAAUUAGAGUAAUAGUUUAUGUCAAAUUUUGCCGCUGUUGAGUCCAAAGGAGAAAGGUUGGAAUCACCACCGUUUGUAGGGCAAAUGUAUCUAAGUUGUUGUGCAAAGUUGGGAUCGAUGUUGGAGUCAUUGUAGAUAUGGUCCUUAAAUGUAACACAACGUGCAAAUCCAAUGCUGUGGCCUCCAGAAAGAACAACAAG
rnacentral:lncRNA from 1 species